rnacentral:rRNA from 1 species
UACGAAGGGGGCUAGCGUUGCUCGGAAUCACUGGGCGUAAAGGGCUCGUAGGCGGCCAACUAAGUCAGACGUGAAAUCCCUCGGCUUAACCGGGGAACUGCAUCUGAUACUGGAUGGCUCGAGUUUGGGAGAGGGAUGCGGAAUUCCAGGUGUAGCGGUGAAAUGCGUAGAUAUCUGGAGGAACACCGGUGGCGAAGGCGGCAUCCUGGACCAACACUGACGCUGAUGAGCGAAAGCCAGGGGAGCAAACGGG